GCGCCCAUAGCUCAGUUGGAUAGAGUGUCUGACUACGAAUCAGGAGGUCCGAGGUUCGAAUCCUCGUGGGCGCA
rnacentral:tRNA from 1 species